rnacentral:rRNA from 2 species
UGCAGAAUCCCGUGAAUCAUCGAGUCUUUGAACGCAAGUUGCGCCCGAAGCCAUUAGGCCGAGGGCACGUCUGCCUGGGCGUCACGC